UACCCCCGCUAUUCAGUUGGCACGGAAUAUCAUCAAGAACAUCAAACAUGCACACGUCAUCUAUAGGUCAUCUAAUAUGACUGCACAAAAAAGGCUGCAUGCACAGAUAGGUUAGCAUGUAGAGAUAGGUUAGCGUCCAGAGAGCAUGCACAGAUAGGUUAGCACCCAGAGAGCAUGUAGAGAUAGGUUAGCGUCCAGAGAGCAUGCACAGAUAGGUUAGCGUCCAGAGAGCAUGCACAGAUAGGUUAGCGUCCAGAGAGCAUGCACAGAUAGGUUAGCAUGCACAGAUAGGUUAGCGUCCAGAGAGCAUGCACAGAUAGGUUAGCAUGCACAGAUAGGUUAGCGUCCAGAGAGCAUGCACAGAUAGGUUAGCACCCAGAGAGCAUGCACAGAUAGGUUAGCAUGCACAGAUAGGUUAGCACCCAGAGAGCAUGCACAGAUAGGUUAGCACCCAGAGAGCAUGCACAGAUAGGUUAGCACCCAGAGAGCAUGCACAGAUAGGUUAGCAUGCAC
ensembl:lncRNA